rnacentral:rRNA from 1 species
GACGCUGGCGGCGUGCUUUAACACAUGCAAGUCGAGCGAUGAAGCUUCUUCGGAAGUGGAUUAGCGGCGGACGGGUGAGUAACGCGUGGGUAACCUGCCUUACACAGGGGGAUAACAGUUAGAAAUGACUGCUAAUACCGCAUAACCCGCUAGUACCGCAUGGUACGGACGGAAAAGAUUUAUCGGUGUAAGAUGGACCCGCGUCUGAUUAGCUAGUUGGUGAGGUAACGGCUCACCAAGGCGACGAUCAGUAGCCGGCUUGAGAGAGUGAACGGCCACAUUGGGACUGAGACACGGCCCAGACUCCUACGGGAGGCAGCAGUGGGGAAUAUUGCACAAUGGGGGAAACCCUGAUGCAGCAACGCCGCGUGAAGGAAGACGGUCUUCGGAUUGUAAACUUUUGUUCUUAGUGAAGAAUUAUGACGGUAGCUAAGGAGAAAGCCACGGCUAACUACGUG